rnacentral:rRNA from 1 species
UACGGAGGGGGCUAGCGUUGUUCGGAAUUACUGGGCGUAAAGCGCACGUAGGCGGCUUUGUAAGUUAGAGGUGAAAGCCCGGGGCUCAACUCCGGAAUUGCCUUUAAAACUGCAUCGCUAGAAUUGUGGAGAGGUAAGUGGAAUUCCGAGUGUAGAGGUGAAAUUCGUAGAUAUUCGGAAGAACACCAGUGGCGAAGGCGACUUACUGGACACAUAUUGACGCUGAGGUGCAAAAGCGUGGGGAGCAAACAGG